rnacentral:lncRNA from 1 species
GAGCCGUGGAGGAGUAGACCGCUUCACCGCCGUCGAUUCGAAACUCGUCGUCGUCGGCGGCGGAUUUAACGAUUCGGUGCAAGGGUGGAUUGCGUCGAAUUCGACGGCAGCGAUGAGUAUUUCUCUUGUCUCACGCCUCCGAUGAAUAUUUGAUUGCGCACUGUGCCUCCUACUUCCAAGCUCCAAUCCCAGGUUCGCAUCUCCGGCUAUCCCAUCCUUUUCGUUUAUUAAUGUAUAUGAUUUUCCGUUUUAGCUUUUAGUUUCUUAAAUUUAGUUUAGCGAGUUAGAGAUGGGUAGAUGGAUUAUCGAGGCCAGCGACAUAACAAAAAAUAGUUGUGGCACACAUUAUAAAACUUAGUAGCACAUACUAUAUAACUCUAGCAACGUGUUGAAUCAUCUUUAACCGGUUCAAAACAGUUGAUUAAUUAUCUUGAUCUCCACGGCUUGGUCCUCUUCAUUGUCCGUAUUUAAAUGACCCUCUAAAUCCUCAUGUGAUAAACGGAUCCUCUCCAGCUCCAUUGAAACCUCUCUCAUGUUUGGUCGUUUCCUUCCUUUCCGGCUUAGACACCUUCUAGCUAGUUUUGCGACUGCCAUCACUUGGUCCAGCUUGCUUUGGUCUUUGAUCCGAUCAUCAAUGAUGUCAAACCCUCUGUUUUCUUUCAUGGCCUCAAGAAAAUCAGCUGCCAAUCCUCUUCCUUCUUCAGACCGGACACGAGUCAAUGGUUUUUCUCCGGUUAUGAGCUCCACAAGUACAACCCCAAAACUAUAAACAUCGCUCUUGUCAGUAUAUUGGCUUGACAGAAAGUACUCUGGAUCCAUGUACCCAAAAGUGCCUGCAACUAAUGUUGUCAAGUGAGUUUGAUCUACUGUUAUCGAUCUCGAAGUUCCAAAGUCAGACACCUUGGCUCUGUAUUUCUCAUCCAAUAGUAUAUUAGUAGUUUUGAUAUCUCUAUGGUAUAUUGGAAAAGAUGCUGAUGAGUGCAUGUAUGAAAGGGCUCCAGCAAUCUCUAUAGCUAUGCCAAGACGUACUUCCCAAGUCAUGUUGUAAUCUUCAGACUCAUCAUGAAGACGCUUGAACAGAUCUCCAUUUGGAAUAUAUUCGUAAACAAGGAUCGGAACUUCUGUCUCUAGACAACAUCCCAAGAGUUUCACAAUGUUCCUAUGGUUUACCUGCGAGAGAAGUGCGACUUCAUUGAUGAACUCUUGCAUCUUGUCUUCGUCCACAAGUUUCGAUCUUUUAACCGCGACGAUCCUCCCAUCCACCAGCAUUCCUUUGUACACCGUGCCUUGACCUCCUUUCCCAAGGACCCUGUUCACGCUGAAGUUAUCCGUGGCUUUCUUCAAUUCCUUUGAGCUAAAGAUCCUCGACAUCUCUACGUUCCCGUCUUUCGUGGUGGUUAGUUGUUGUUUCAACAACAAGCCUCCAUUACGUUUAAAAAACUUCUUGCUGUGGAUGAUCUUCCUUCGCUUUUUCACAAGUUUGUACAGCCCCAAGAGUCCUAGGACGAACAACAACACUCCUAGACCUAUAAGAACACCUACACCAACGAAGAAAGUAAACUACUUGUAGUAGUCUCGUAGAUGCUUACUUUAACUUACCUUGAAGCACAGAGGUCUUUUGAGGCUUGGUUACGAUGGGAUUGCAGCUAUAUGAUCCAGGCCAGUUCACACAAGUCCUUUCUCCACAAAUGUUGUGUCCUUUGCAUUCAUCUAUGUCUACACACAUUUUUAAUCAUACUAAUUAAUGACUUGAUCAUAAUCAAAGCAUGAAAAAAAAAAAUUAAGAAGAAACGUUCACUUUUACCUAUGCAGCCGUGUUUAACGUAUGGGUUCCCUGUGUAGCCAUUAUUGCAAUAACAGUUCCUAUAACUCAUCCCAGAGAAGUACUGAUAUUCGCAACCGCAUUUAUCAAAUGAGGUGUAAGAACUGUAACGCGUCAUAUUUCUACAACCUAAGGGGCUCCUAAAGCGAGAAUCCGAAGUAUCAAAGUACCAUCCUAGCUCUACCAACGCAUACCCCAACGAAUGAAACUGUUCUGGCGCUGUUACAUUCAUCGGUGAGUACCUCUUGUUAGUCAAGAAGGCAACUCUGCACCCUUCUCCUCCUGUGACAUCUAUAUUCACACCUAUAACUUGUGGACGUUCUAAAGGUAUCCUCGCCUGGCAACAUCUGAAACCAUCGCAGACCGAGUUUGUUACUUGCUGACUACGUUUACUGUCUUGGCAGCUCGAUUCACAACCUAUGAUCUCUGAUUCUAUAUCUGUAAGAGAUGUCUUGGCACCGCAACCAACCGCCACGAGACGGUUUUGGUCUGUGAGAAAAUAUGGACUGCCUCUUCCCGUGACAUUCAAAACUGGCGUUGACUUUUCUAGUCCUUGACUAGAGCAGCCCAAAGAAGUCACGGGACCUUUGAUGUGAACCGCUCCGUAUGGUUUAUUACCGUCUGGAAGAGAGAUGUUGACCAAUUCGGUGUUGAUCCGUGAGAGGAACGGUACGGUGGUGUUACAGACAACCUCGUACCAGUUGUUGAGAUAGCAGUCUUUCUCGCCUAUUCCGAAAGGGAAGGGGAUAGAGAUUCCUCCACAGGUUCUAAUACACGAAGUUGAAGAGUUACCUUCUGAACGUGGAGGUGGUGUUGCUGCUGAGGAUGAGCCAUUGAUGAGCUGCAGAGUUAGGACAUAAGCUACAAUACAUAGAAAGUUGUAAGAAGCUGUCUUCAUACUUGUGUUUGAUUCCAAUCGAUAUUUUUUUAAUGUAGAUAAAGAAAUCUUUGAGAUAUCCUAAUAAGAAGUCCACUAACGCAUUCAAAGAAGUUUGAAUAUAGACGCGUGAAGUGUUUUCAACCAGAAAAAAGAAGUCAACUCCGUUUGGCCUCUUUCAUUUCAAUCAUUGUACCGUUGACUUUUCCACUUAAUGUGUGAACAAGCUUGAACGCUAAACAAACUGAUUCUUCAAUCUAGGAAUAUCCCAUGAACACUAUGGUCUAUGGUCUUGUGUUGAGUGUUAUCCAAGUAUGUGAUUCUAGCUUCACAGUCACGGCUUUACUCGUGGGUGCCUAAAUAAAACAACACAACGUUCGUUACUAAAAAGUCAAGUUGUCUGAAAGUAUUGUUAUCACCUAUCAGCAAGGAGCUCCAAUUUAUCUUAGAAUUUAGUAAUAGACGCUGUAGUCACCAAGCCCGUCUAGCUCAGUUGGUAGAGCGCAAGGCUCUUAACCUUGUGGUCGUGGGUUCGAGCCCCACGGUGGGCGUAUUGUUUUUUUUAUGUCAGCCAAUUGCAUUUUUUUUAUGUCAGCCCCUACUAACCUUGUCGGUUUUUUCCCCACGGUGGGUGAUGUUAGGAUGAAUCAGUUACAAGAACGAUUGUCAUCAUCGUCCUCGUUAUAAACCUGGACCUGUGAAACUCGAAUCCUCUCCUGUUCCAUAGAGACUUCCCUCAUAUCAUAUUACGCCGUUUCUUACCGUUCAAGUUCAAACACCUCCUCGUAAGGUUUGCCGCACCAGUGACUUGUUCCAUGUUGCAACUAUCUUUGAUCCGGGCAUCGAUAAUGUCUAAGAGCUUAGUUUCUUGCAUCGCAAGAAUGAAAUAAGUUGCUUACAUUGAAAUUCUCUGUGGCUUUCUCCAGUUCUUUCGAGGUGAACACUCUUGUCUUUCUCAACGUUGCCUUCGUUCGAAAUCAAUUGUUGUUGCAGCAGUAGUCCUCAAUUACGCUUAUAGAACUUGUUCUUCCACUUAUCUCCCUUUGCAUUCUGAUAACUUAUACAACCACCAUGCUACGUAAUAAAACGAUAUUGUAAUAAUACGACAACCCGUAAUAAAACGUUUGCAG